rnacentral:rRNA from 1 species
UACGUAGGUGGCAAGCGUUGUCCGGAUUUACUGGGCGUAAAGAGCGCGCAGGCGGCUCGGUAAGUCUGCUGUGAAAUCUCCCGGCUUAACUGGGAGGGGUCAGCGGAUACUGUCGGGCUUGAGGCAGGUAGAGGAAGGUGGAAUUCCCGGUGUAGUGGUGAAAUGCGUAGAUAUCGGGAGGAACACCAGUGGCGAAGGCGGCCUUCUGGGCCUGUCCUGACGCUGAGGCGCGAAAGCGUGGGGAGCGAACAGG